rnacentral:rRNA from 1 species
AGCGAACGCUGGCGGCAGGCCUAACACAUGCAAGUCGAACGAACCCUUCGGGGUUAGUGGCGGACGGGUAAGUAACACGUGGGAACGUGCCUUUAGGUUCGGAAUAACUCAGGGAAACUUGUGCUAAUACCGAAUGUGCCCUUCGGGGGAAAGAUUUAUCGCCUUUAGAGCGGCCCGCGUCUGAUUAGCUAGUUGGUGAGGUAAUGGCUCACCAAGGCUACGAUCAAUAGCUGGUCUGAGAGGAUGACCAGCCACAUUGGGACUGAGACACGGCCCAAACUCCUACGGGAGGCAGCAGUGGGGAAUCUUGCGCAAUGGGCGAAAGCCUGACGCAGCCAUGCCGCGUGAAUGAUGAAGGCCUUAGGAUUGUAAAAUCCUUUCACCGGUGAAGAUAAUGACUGUAGCCGGAGAAGAAGCCCCGGCUAACUUCGUGCCAGCCGCCGCAGUAACAC